AAAUCAAACCCUAGCGCCGCCGCAAAGAACUACUCCGUAAUCUCCUUCGACCUCCUCAUCUGGUCGCCGUCUUGAUCGCGGUCUCCGCCCACGCCGCCGGAGUUUCCCACGAUGUCUGGCGGUACACAAUCUGAAGGCUCCCAACCGUCUGCUGCUCCUGUAAAGCCUGCCUCGACUUCGUGCCGAAAAAAGAACUCUGGCAGCACCUCGUUUGUCACGGAACUGAGAGAUCACUUCCACGAGUUCGUUCACGCCUCUAUGGACGACCACAGGACAUGUUUAACAAACACUGUCAAGAAAAUGUUUGCGAUGUCAAAGGCUGUCGCAGAGAGAAGCAACGAAGCAAAAGAAGCUGGAGCUGAAAGCGUUUUGUCACUUAAGACUGAAGUGUCACAUUAGAAACGUGAUGCAAUGGUGUCCUCUGUAGCCAAAAAUGUUUUCACUGUCAAUAAGCAUAAUCCUUAGGUAGAAAACAUUGUAGUUACACUUUUUGUUGAAUAUAUUAUGUACAGUUACAUCAUGCUGUUGUCCUUUUGACUUUGCAAAGCAAUGUAUACAAGAGUGGAAACACUUGCCUUCUGUAGAUUCA